GAUCACAAUUUGUGGGCUUCUGCUUGUCCACUCGGCUUUUGAGGAUUGACCACAGGUUCUCUAUGGGAUUAAGAUCCGGGGAGUUGCCUGGCCACGGAUCCAAAAUUUAAAUGUAAUGAUCUCCGAGCCACUUCAUUAUCACUCUUGCCUUGUGACAUGGUUCUCCAUCAUGCAGGAAAAUGCACAGAUCAUCACCAAAUUGCUCCUGGAUCGUUGGGAAAAGUUGCUCUUGCAGGACGUUUUGAUACCAUUCUAUAUUCAUGGCAGUGUUUUUGGGCAGAAUUGUGGGACAGCCCACUCCCUUGGAUGAAAAGCAGCCCCACACAUGGAUGGUCUAAGGAUGCUUCACUGUUGCCACGACAAAGGACUCAUAGUAACGCACACCUUUUCUUCUCCGGACUAUCGAUUUUCCAGAUGUCCCAAACAGUCGGAAGGGGGCUUCAUCAGAGAAAAUAACUUUGCACCAGUCUUCUGCUGUCCAAUCCUUGUACUUCCUGCAGAAUUUGAGUCUGUCCUUGAUUUUUUUCUUGGAGAGAAGUGGCUUUUUUGCUGCUCUUCUUGACACCAGGAUAUUGUCCAAAAGUCUUCACCUCACUGUGCAUGCAGAUGCACUCACACCAAACUGCUGCCAAUAUUGAGUAAGCACUGCACUGGUGGUGACACGAUUCCAUAGCAGACUUCUCAGUUGGAGACAGUCAUGGCGCUCGCUGGACACUCUGGGACAUCCUGAUGCCUUCUUCACUGCAGUUGAACCUCUCUCCUUGAAGUUCUUGAUGAUCCGGGGCAGGAAUGAUUUCAUCAGGUCUGUCGUCUUCAUCAUCAUCAUCAUCAUCAUCAUCAUCAUCAUCAAAAAGACUCAGUGCUGUUUUCUUGGCCAUGGCCCCCUUAAUCUCCAUAGGAGGUGGACCCUCCUUCUGCAGUGCUGUCUUCAGAGGACAGAAUGGAUUCCACAGACUUCUUCACCUCUGCUAUCUUUUCUGUUGCUGCAGUGGUCAAGUUGCCCUCCUGCUCAGGGUCAAACAGAGAGGGAGAAUCAGAAUCCUGGAUCAUAGAGACACAUACAAGUAACAAACACAACAGUCUGCUGUUCUCUGCUACUAACAACUGACACUGCAAAUUAAAUCUGUCCUACAUUAAUACUGUAGAAUGUAUGCACAAAAAAUAUAGAUCAUUAACAAAACUGUCAGAUAAUUAAUAAUGAAUCAUUGGAAACAUACAGUUCAUCAAUAACAUCACAUUCAAGCCACAGUUAAAAUGCAUGAAAUGCCAUUACAUUUGGUCACAAAAAAUAUCAAACCAAGUGUUAUCUGAAACAAAAGAUGCUAGACCUAUUCUCAGAACUUCACUUUUCUGAGGCAUUUUUGCAAACACUUUAAACCCCUUGCAGAGUAAUCACGUGUGUAGUAUUUUGCUUGAAAAGUGUGCUUGUGCUAACUUUCUUUAAAAUAAAUGCCAAUACGUUUGAUAUUUUGGCAAAUAAUGCAAUUAUAUUUGUAUAUUUAUAAGUGUAGCUUUAGUGUCCAAAUGCUUUUUGGGGACACUGAAUGCCAUCACAAAACACUCAUUGGGGCCAUGGAGCCAUAAGUCAUAGUUAACCCAAAAAUGAACAUUCUCUCAUCAUUUGCCCUCAUGCCAUCCCAGAUGUGUAUGACUUUCUUUCUUCUGCUGAACAAAAACAAAUAUU